rnacentral:rRNA from 1 species
CCUACGGGUGGCAGCAGUGAGGAAUAUUGGUCAAUGGGCGCAAGCCUGAACCAGCCAAGUAGCGUGAAGGAUGAAUGCCCUACGGGUUGUAAACUUCUUUUGUAAAGGCAUAAAGUGAGGCACGUGUGCCUUUUUGUAUUUACUUUAUGAAUAAGGCUCGUCUGACUCCGUGCCAGCAGCCGCGGUAAUACGGAGGAUCCGAGCGUUAUCCGGAUUUAUUGGGUUUAAAGGGAGCGUAGAUUGGUUGUUAAGUCAGUUGUGAAAGUUUGCGUCUCAACCGUAAAAUUGCAAUUGAUACUGGCAGUCUUGAGUAAAGUUGAGGUAGGCGGAAUGCGUGGUGUAGCGGUGAAAUGCUUAGAUAGCACGAAGAACUCCGAUUGCGAAGGCAGCUUACUAAACGGCCACUGACAUUGAUGCUCGAAAGUGUGGGUAUCAAACAGGAUUAGAUACCCUGGUAGUC